UGACAAGGUUCAUGAAUCAACGGAACUGCUGCAAGACAGUGAUAUCGAAACAGAAGACAAGAUACUCAAAGAACAAAACAAUGGAGAAAUUGAAAUCGAGGCUAUCACUAACAGUACCUCGGAAAGGAAGAAGGUUUCCAAGGCAACGACCUAUAGGAAUCUUGUUGCUCUUAGUUUUGCAUUCACUUACAACUUCACGGCUUUUGAUUCCUUUUCGAACGUACAAAGUUCCAUUAACAAGGAAGAAGGUCUAGGCACUACUGGACUAUCACUCAUUUAUGUUGUAGUGAUUUUGGCUAACUUAUUUCUUUCUCCUGUUAUACUGUCAAAGUUUAGUUACAAAUGGAUUAUGGUGUUUUCUGUCCUAACCUAUGCCGUGUUCAUGGCGACGGGAUUCUAUACCACGUGGGCAACAGUCGUACCAGGGUCGUUUAUUAUCGGUUUCGCACAGAUAUGGGGAACUCUUGUUGCAUCGAUCGUAUUACGAAAGGAGUCAGGAAACUCAACAGCAGAGUUCGAAAGUUGUGUUGCUCGAUUUUGUCCAUUUGACCAGCACAAAUCCGGGGCAAUUGAACGACCUCCAAAACAUAAGAUUUUCAUAUACACAGGAUUCUGUGUUGGAAUGUCAAGUUUUGGGGCCAUAGUUAUUGCAUUGUUUCUGACAAAUUCAAAAACGGAAACUGAUAACCGAGACGGAUCUUGCAAAAAUAUCCGUAGAGUUGGAGCCGUUAUGGUAAAGUCAAUGGACUUGUAGUUGUUAAUUGUACCAGCUAUGAGUUCCGGUGUACUCUCUAUCUUCUUCGCUCCGGACUUCACGGCGGCAUUCGUGAGUUGCCCAUUUGGCGUGGAAAACGUCGGAGUAACUGUGAUGACAUACGGCGUUGUGCUUACAGUAUUUACGUUUAUCAAUGGACGUCUUGCAAAAGUAACUGGCCAGUACAUAAUAUUCUUAAUAGG